AAGGGAGCGUAGGCGGCUGAUUAAGUCAGCGGUGAAAGGUAGCAGCUUAACUGUUUUACAUGCCGUUGAUACUGGUUAGCUUGAGUUGACAGAAGGCAGAUAGAAUUCCUGGUGUAGCGGUGAAAUGCUUAGAUACCAGGAGGAAUACCGAUUGCGAAGGCAGUCUGCUGCAGUCACACUGACGCUGAGGCUCGAAGGUGCGGGGAUCAAACAGGAUUAGAUACCCGUGU
rnacentral:rRNA from 1 species